UACGUAGGGGGCAAGCGUUAUCCGGAUUCACUGGGUGUAAAGGGAGCGUAGACGGCCAUGCAAGCCUGGAGUGAAAGCCCGGGGCCCAACCCCGGGACUGCUCUGGGAACUGUGCGGCUGGAGUGCGGGAGGGGCAGGCGGAAUUCCUGGUGUAGCGGUGAAAUGCGUAGAUAUCAGGAGGAACACCGGUGGCGAAGGCGGCCUGCUGGACUGCGACUGACGUUGAGGCCCGAAAGCGUGGGGAGCAAACAGG
rnacentral:rRNA from 1 species